GGAUGUGAGGGCGAUCUGGCUGCGACAUCUGUCACCCCAUUGAUGGCCAGGGUUGAUUCGGCUGAUCUGGCUGGCUAGGCGGGUGUCCCUUUCCUCCCUCAAAGAUCCAUGUGCGUCCCUCCCAAAGCUGUGCGCUUGGUCGAAGAGGACGACCACCCCCGAUAGAGGAGGACCGUUCCUCGGUCAAGGGUAUACGAGUAGCUGCGCUCCCCUGCUCGAACCUCCAAACAAGCUCUCAAGAUCCAUAAAUGAUGGUAUCUUAGGGAAAAGUUCCCUAAGGGUUUGAUUUCUAAUGGUAAGAAAUCCAGGCAUUU
rnacentral:snRNA from 1 species